rnacentral:rRNA from 1 species
GUACGGGAGGCAGCAGUGGGGAAUUUUGGACAAUGGGCGCAAGCCUGAUCCAGCAAUGCCGCGUGCAGGAUGAAGGCCUUCGGGUUGUAAACUGCUUUUGUACGGAACGAAACGGCUCUGGUUAAUACCCGGGGCUAAUGACGGUACCGUAAGGAUAAGCACCGGCUAACUACGUGCCAGCAGCCGCGGUAAUACGUAGGGUGCAAGCGUUAAUCGGAAUUACUGGGCGUAAAGCGUGCGCAGGCGGUUAUGUAAGACAGACGUGAAAUCCCCGGGCUCAACCUGGGAACUGCGUUUGUGACUGCAUAGCUAGAGUACGGUAGAGGGGGGUGGAAUUCCGCGUGUAGCAGUGAAAUGCGUAGAUAUGCGGAGGAACACCGAUGGCGAAGGCAGCCCCCUGGACCUGUACUGACGAUCAUGCACGAAAGCAUGGGGAGCAAACAGGAUUAGAUACCCUGGU